rnacentral:lncRNA from 1 species
UAUAAGAGUGUGCCUUGUUUGCUAUUAGAAAUACGGAGGGCUUCGUGUUUCUAAGUCGUUUUUGAUAAUAAAAUUUUCGAAUCGACAAUCAGUUUUGUUAAACUUGAUUUAGCAUAUUUGAAAUAUUUAAAAAAUAAAUUUUGCGGUUUUCGAUAUCAUUUAUAUAGCUAUCGAAAGGGUUCGAAUCAACGACUAAAAAUAAAAAUCUCACAAAGAAUGGUGAUAUAAUAUUAAAAUUUACGAUCAUAAAUAUUGAUCUUGCAAUAAAUAGGUUAAAAAUUUUCUAUCAAAAUUUCAUCUAAUUUAAAAAAUACUUCUACACCGUUAAACUUACAAACGAUAUGCAUCAACCAUUAAAAAUUAUUGAUUUUGAACCCUUUCGAUCACUAGGUAAGUAAUGUUGAAAAAUCGCAAAAAUUAUUUUCUAAAUGCUUCAAAUAUGUUAGAUAAAGUCUAACAGAGGCGGUCGUCGAUUCGAAAGCUCCAUCAUUAAAAAUGACUUAGGAAUACAGAGUCCCCGUGCUCCUAAUAGCACACAAGUCCUACUCCUAAUAUAAUGUCAUAUCCAAAAAAAUUUUAAUAUUACAAAAAAGAUUUAGACCAAUAUAGUUGAUAUCUGUGUCGGAUCUUUGAUGCUAACCAUUAAUCCAAAAAGCUCGAGCUGUUAAAAAUACACAACUAAUUCACUUAACACGUACAGAUACAGUGCCCACGGAUCUCGAUUGUGACUCGGCCCAUCCAACCCUACGCCACUUCGAAUAUGACUUGUCCCACUCAGCCUCACGCUAUUUUGAAUAUGACUCGGCCUAACAUAAUCCCUCGUCAUAGAAUAAAAUGCUGACUCAUUUAAGUUAACAAUAUGAAAUUUCAAAUUUGAAGCCUCGCAGGUUCUCAAUUCUAACAAAAUUU